rnacentral:rRNA from 1 species
AUUGAACGCUGGCGGCAGGCUUAACACAUGCAAGUCGAGCGAGCGGGGGGCGGGAGAGCAAUGUAUCGGAAACGGCCUGAUGGAGGGGGAUAACAAAUGGAAACGGUAGCUAAUACCGCACACCAUCAGAUGUGUCCAGAUGGGAUGAGCUAGUAGGUGGGGUAAUGGCUCACCUCGGCGACGAUCCCUAGCUGGUCUGAGAGGAUGACCAGCCACACUGGAACUGAGACACGGUCCAGACUCCUACGGGAGGCAGCAGUGGGGAAUAUUGCACAAUGGGCGCAAGCCUGAUGCAGCCAUGCCGCGUGUGUGAAGAAGGCCUUCGGGUUGUAAAGCACUUUCAGCGAGGAGGCGUUACUCGCAGAAGAAGCACCGGCUAACUCCGUGCCAGCCGCCGCGGUAAUAC